rnacentral:rRNA from 1 species
AUGCCGCACCGCGCACGGCCGAUGACGGGGCUGCUGGUCGUCAACCUCGUCCUCCUCAGCACCAUCACCCCCGUCUACGACUUCGUCUGCUUCCACCCCUACUGGGACCGCAGGAGAGAACGCCGUCAAAGGGAACGUGAAGCACUGCAAGGCAAUGGUUCUCUAGAAACUGCAAAAUAA